rnacentral:rRNA from 1 species
UGGCUCAGAACGAACGCUGGCGGCAGGCUUAACACAUGCAAGUCGAACGCGUGUAGCAAUACACGAGUGGCGCACGGGUGAGUAACACGUGGAUAUCUGCCUUUUGGUUCGGAAUAACCCUGGGAAACUAGGGCUAAUACCGAAUGGUUCCUACGGGAUAAAGAUUUAUCGCCAAAAGAUGAGUCCGCGUCCGAUUAGCUAGUUGGUGAGGUAACGGCUCACCAAGGCGAGGAUCGGUAGCUGGUCUGAGAGGACGAUCAGCCACACUGGGACUGAGACACGGCCCAGGGACCUACGGGAGGCAGCUCUGGGA